UACGUAGGGCGCAAGCGGUGUCCGGAAUUAUUGGGCGUAAAGAGCUCGUAGGCGGUUUGUCGCGUCUGCUGUGAAAACUCGAGGCUCAACCUCGGGCUUGCAGUGGGUACGGGCAGACUAGAGUGCGGUAGGGGUGACUGGAAUUCCUGGUGUAGCGGUGGAAUGCGCAGAUAUCAGGAGGAACACCGAUGGCGAAGGCAGGUCACUGGGCCGCAACUGACGCUGAGGAGCGAAAGCAUGGGGAGCGAACAGG
rnacentral:rRNA from 1 species